UACAGAGGUCCCAAGCGUUGUUCGGAUUUACUGGGCGUAAAGGGUGCGUAGGUGGUCGGGUAAGUCUGAUGUGAAAUCUUCGAGCUCAACUCGGAAACUGCAUUGGAAACUACUCGGCUUGAGAGUUGGAGGGGGGACUGGAAUUCUCGGUGUAGCAGUGAAAUGCGUAGAUAUCGAGAGGAACACCAGUGGCGAAGGCGAGUCCCUGGACAACUUCUGACACUGAGGCACGAAAGCUAGGGGAG
rnacentral:rRNA from 1 species